CGCGUAGGCGGGAUGGCAAGUCAGUCGUGAAAUCUCUCGGCUCAACCGAGAAACGUCGACUGAUACUGCCGUUCUUGAGGGAUGCAGAGGAGACCGGAAUUCCCGGUGUAGCGGUGAAAUGUGUAGAGAUCGGGAGGAACACCGGUGGCGAAGGCGGGUCUCUGGGCAUCUCCUGACGCUGAGGCGCGAAAGCGUGGGGAGCAAACG
rnacentral:rRNA from 1 species